GAAAAAGGAGGCGAAGACUUCGCCGUCUGGCGUUCAAAAAUGCCACCUCGUAAGGAUGGGAAGGUAGAAAGAAAAUGGGGGUUGGGACUAGCGUUUGACGUCUUCAGCCAAACAAUGUGUUCUGGCCCUACGUUCCUUAUUGGCUGGAUCAAAGGACGAGCGAUUUCACAGAGAAAAGUGUUACAUGUCUCCAGAUGGGGCAGAAGGAAUUCAACAAGGCCCUUCAACAUGAAAGUCGAGCUUGACAUCUGUCGAAGGCAGUCCUUUACAAAUAGAUACACCGUCCACAGCCUUGACACAAACUCAACUGUGGGAUAGAAAAGGCCACCACAGUCUGUAAAAACAAUAGAGCAAUUAAAUUGGCUGAUCCUGAUUGUCCAUGCCUGAAUUGUCUAAGCAAUCGACAUUCUUUAAUUUAUCUUCCGAAAAGUUUAUUCUUCGGCAUACUACUGGACGUGUUCUUGGCGAAAGAGCUGCUUCAUGCGGUGCCGAUGGUAGAAGCCGACGGAUUGGCAACAGGAGGAUUCUGUCUUUGGCCGCAUUCAUAUUUGGAGUGAACGUUGCUGCUUGCUGAAUAUGUGGAAGAAGACGGCGUUUGUUUGAGUUAUUCAGCUCGGGAUCUUCAUCUGCAAGAAAGAAAAGAUGAUGCGGUAAUAUAAAUAUUCAUAGUGAGUUAUAAAUAUAAUUUAUUUUCAGAAAUGGGACCAAAAUGGUUGUUAUGAACGGGAAUGUUGCAAGGAAAAAUCAGGAAGAGUAAACGAAGACAGAGAAAAUUUCAAUUUACUGGCCAAGGGAAUGCGAUUCUCGUACAGAAUUACAAGACCUAGGAAAGUCGUUUGUCGCCAGAUUGUAGCCUUACAGAAGCUUUGCUGGACACAGACAUUAGAAUUCGUCCAAUUUUUACCCAUGUCAAUUGUGAUUGAUAGAUGAAGAAGUCACGGAUUUUAUUCGAUCUACUUUCCCGUACAGAGAUCUGUUCCGAAGGAGAUAAAAACAUCUCAUCAAUCGUAGAACGUCCCGGUGAUCGUAUAUAGCUUUACAGUGUUCAGAAUGUCUGUUACGUUUAUUAACAUUUUAUUUUUUAUUUUUAAAUGUAACAAUUUUUAAUGAGAACAAUACAUUUUCUGCUUUAAACAUA